UCGGACGUGGUGUACGGUACACCCUCGCUUUGGAUGGCUGAUCUCGUGUAGUAUACAGCGGGUAUCGGGGUUCGACUCCCCGCGUCUGAA